GUGUUUUUAUGAUCUAACCUCAGGAGUCACAUCAGGUUAUUUCUACCACACCCUAAGGACUGAAGUCAUCACAGAGGUCCACCUGGUUUCCAGGGCAGGGGACAUAGACCCCCACCACUCCAUGGAGGAAGGAUGUCAAUGUCCCACUGUAAGAAUAAUAUGCAGGGUGUAAGACCUUGUUACAGACAACUUUGGAAAAUACAACUUGACACAGGAACUGACACUAAGACAACAGAACUGCUGGCCUUCUUGGAACUUUUUUAAAUGGAGAAGACAAAUUAAACAAGCCAUGGUUUCCAAUGCAACCUGUGGGAAAAGCUUAGCUGGUUCAUCCAAUGAUUCCACUUUCUUGCUAGGAACAAAGACUAGUCAAUGGCCCCACUUAAUGGCAUGGGAUCUGGGAAGGGUAGUCUCCCUGAUGCCCAAGAAGGAGAGAGAACUGGAUGUUGAGUACCUCAAAGCACUAGAGCUCUGCAGAACCCACCUGUGGGUAGAUUUAAUCUUCAAGUCCCAGGCAAGACUGAGAUAGAAUGCUCUGAGGCAGGCUAAAACUAGCACCCUGACAACAUUCCAGAAAAUCCAGGCACUUAGGUAGAGUCUGCUCCAAAUCACUCCCCUCCUGGCUAUGAAAUUUGACAUACAGCAGAUACAUUGGGUCUUUUUCAUAUGAAGAGUUUCAUAUGUGGCAUAUUACGUGAUCACAUAAAUGUUCCAAAUGAAAUA
rnacentral:lncRNA from 1 species